rnacentral:misc_RNA from 1 species
UGGUUCUGGCAUCGAUGAAGAACGCAGCGAAAUGCGAUAAGUAAUGUGAAUUGCAGAAUUCAGUGAAUCAUCGAAUCUUUGAACGCACAUUGCGCCCACUGGUAUUCCGGUGGGCAUGCCUGUUCGAGCGUCAUUACGACCCUUACGCCCUGUUGCGUAGUGUUGAGGUUGUACCGAUUGGUACUCCUCUAAAGUCAGUGGCAGAGCCUAUUAUACUCUAAGCGUAGUAAUUCUUCUCGUUUUUGCGUAGACUAGGCCCUCGCUAUAAACCAAACCUUUGUGUUUGACCUCGAAUCAGGUAGGAAUACCCGCUGA